rnacentral:rRNA from 1 species
GACAGAGGGUGCAAACGUUGUUCGGAAUUACUGGGCGUAAAGCGUGUGUAGGUGGCUGCGAAAGUCGGAUGUGAAAGCCCUGGGCUCAACUCAGGAAGUGCACCCGAUACUGCGUAGCUCGAGUACCGGAGAGGUUGGUAGAAUUCUCGGUGUAGAGGUGAAAUUCGUAGAUAUCGAGAGGAAUACCUGUGGCGAAGGCGGCCAACUGGACGAGUACUGACACUGAGGCGCGAAAGCUAGGGGAGCAAACAGG